rnacentral:rRNA from 1 species
GACGAACGCUGGCGGUAUGCUUAAGACAUGCAAGUCGCACGGUCCCGCAAGGGACAGUGGCGGACGGGUGAGUAACACGUGGAUAACCUGCCCGACUCCCCGGGAUAACAGGCCGAAAGGCCUGCUAAUACCGGGUAAGCUCACGGAGCCGCAUGGCUUCGGGAGAAAAGGCCCCGCAAGGGGUUGGGGACGGAGGGGUCCGCGGUCCAUUAGCUAGUUGGAGGGGUAACGGCCCACCAAGGCGACGAUGGAUAGCCGGCCUGAGAGGGCGACCGGCCACACUGGGACUGAGACACGGCCCAGACUCCUACGGGAGGCAGCAGUCGGGAAUUUUGGGCAAUGGCCGAAAGGGCUGACCCAGCAAUACCGCGUGAGUGAAGAAGGCCUUCGGGUUGUAAAGCUCUGUUGCUCGUGAAGAACGGUACUUUCAGGAAAUGGGGAGUACUUGACGGUAGCGAGUGAGGAAGCCCCGGCUAACUACGUGCCAGCAGCCGCGGUAAUACGUAGGGGGCGAGCGUUGUCCGGAUUUAUUGGGCGUAAAGGGCGUGUAGGCGGUCUGUUAAGUCAGGGGUGAAACUCCGCAGCUCAACUGCGGACCUGCCUCUGAUACUGGCGGACUUGAGUACUCUAGAGGGCAGUGGAAUUCCCGGUGUAGCAGUGAAAUGCGUAGAGAUCGGGAGGAACACCAGUGGCGAAGGCGGCUGCCUGGGGAGAAACUGACGCUGAGGCGCGAAAGCUGGGGGAGCAAACGGGAUUAGAUACCCCGGUAGUCCCAGCCGUAAACGAUGAGUGCUAGGUGUAGGGGGUAUCGACCCCCCCUGUGCCGCAGUUAACGCAAUAAGCACUCCGCCUGGGGAGUACGGCCGCAAGGUUG